ensembl:lincRNA Gm26631 predicted gene, 26631
GGUCGCCAUGACCGGUCCCGCCCCGCUCCGCCAGUGGCCAGACCGGCGCGGGGAAGAACGAAUGACAAGACGUAACACGCCUUUAGAAAGAUGGCGGCGCGCAGGCGCGGGUUUCCCUUGGCGCUUUCCGGCCGCCUGCUGCGGAGAGAGCAUCAAGGUUCCGCCCUACCCGUCAGGAACUGGCCAGCCCAGGUCUUGCCUUUCAGAAUUCUCUAAGAACAGGACAUCAGCAUGAGUCCCUGGGAUGAGUCAUCAAAAUAAUAUCUGGAGGAACAUGAAGAGUGUCUGGAGGAAACUAAAAAGCAACAGCAUGGGUUUAUUUUAAAAUAUUUUUUCUUCUUACUCCUCUUCCUCCUCCUCCUUCUUUUCUUCCUUUUUUUUUUUUUUUUGAGACAGGGUUUCUCUGUGUAGCCCUGACUGUCUGGAAAUUGCUCUGUAGACCAGGCUGGCCUCAAACUCAGAGGUCUACCUGCCUCUUCUUUCCAAGUACUGGGACUAAAAGUGUGUGCCAUCACCCCCUGGCCAAUUCUUUUUUAACUUACUUAUUUAUUUUAUGUAUAUGAGUACACUGUCGUUGUCUUCAGACACACCAGAAGAUCCCAUUACAGAUGGUUGAGAGCCACCAUAUGGUUGCUGAGAAUUGAACUCAGGACCUCUGGAAAAGCAACCAGUGCUCUGAACUGCUAAGCCAUCUCACCAGUUCCCCAAUUCUAGUUCUUAACCAGGGUAUGAGAGGUCUUCUGGUAGGGGAAUCAAAUUUUAUUAAAGGUGAGAGUAAAACUAGACCAUAGUAGGUUUCAUGGUUGAACAAAUGUUGAACAUGCUGAUGUUCACGUUGAACAAGUUUGAUGUACAUCUUUAAAACAACAAAAAUCAAACUUACUAAAACUCCCCGCAGCAUCUACAUUUAACUUAAUACUGUUUUCCUGUUGGAGUAACACAGCCGUACUGCUGUCCCACAGACCUAUAAGCAGGAAGCAGUGAGAAGCUUGCUGGGAUUAUGGAGCUCCUGAAGUUAAAUAGGGCUGUUCCCUUAGUACUUUCAAGGAAGGAGUAAGCCCCUUUCUCUAGUCUUUAACCACAAUGCCUGCAAACCAAUCACAGCAAAGACAAAUACUCUGAUGUCUAAGCUAACAAGGUGCUGCCGAGAGCAGGCAGAGAAGAGCUGGCUGCUGCACAGCACUUUUCUCCACAUCACCUUGCUGACUGUCUUUAAGACUUUAUGUACCCUUGGCUGACCUCAAACUCAAGAGAUCCACCUGUCUCUCUCUGCCACCCAUGAGCUGGGACUAAGACUGUGCCCCCAUACCCAGCUCAGCCUCUGCUUCUCAAUGCAGACAACAUCACAAGACCUAAUUUCAGUUCAAACUCAUUUCCCUUUAUUAAAGUCCAAGUUACUAUUACAUGGUUUGAUACUCAAAGGAAAAUUUGUUCAAAUAAAACAUUUCCAGGCAACUGUUUCAAUCAAGUAGCAAUAGCAGUUAAGUCCUUAGGAAGCCCAUCUGCAGAGAGGGAGAGAAAAAAAAAAGCACAGAAUUAGCCAGUAAAGUGCUAAAAUGAAGACAUUUUAUUUAAAAUAACCUUUGGAACUACAGCCCCAGGAAACAGCCUCCACCCUGGAGCACUUCCUGCUUUAAUACAGCCUCCGUCAAUUUACAAGGGCCUGACUUUGUAGCCUCUUCAUCAUUUACACCACUGGUACUUAGCCUUUUUUUCCUAAUCAGAAAAGUUUAAAGCCAGGUAAUCCUAGCAGUCAGAACAACAUAGACAGGAUAGUAAUUUCAGAGCUGAUCAAGAUGGCUGAGCAGGUAAAGACACUUGCUGCAGAGCCAGACAACCUGAGAUGAAGCCCUCGGACUGACAUGAUAGGAAAAAACUGACUAGAAAAAAAUGUCUUCUGAAUUUCACACCGUUGCUGUGGCACAAACACACACAAAAACCCACAGGACAGUGCUGCCAUCAGCCCACCACUCUUUGAACUGCUACUUACCGAAGGGAGUUUACACUUUGUCAAGGCCCAGCUCCUCUGGAGUGGAGAUUCCCAAUUCAUUUAAAGUUGGUCUAAGUUCCUGGAUGACAUAGGGAUAGAUUUCCUUAUGAGGUCCUGCUUUGUCCUGUUGGCAAUGAGAAUAGUCUGUUAACAAAUGAAACUGCAGGGCUGGGGUUAGACCUCAGUUGAUAGAAGCCCACCAGCUGUUCAGAAGGCCUUUCAGUUGGGCCUCAGAACCACAACCCAGGUGUGGACUCCUGUAAUUUAGUAGAGACAGCUCAAGUAUGAGAAGCUCAAGGUGGUAAUGACAGAAUUUUGAAAAGGUAAUUAAACAUGCCCAUCAGGCAUCAGAAGAAUUAAAUUAACAGAAGGGAAGUUUCUUAACUUGCUUCCAAUUUAAAGGACUGACUUUAUCAACUACCAGUGCUGAGUGGACGGACAGCUCCAGAAUCCUUAAUUAUCUUAGUCAGUACAGAUAAAGUAUUGUCACUUUCCCCUUACAAACC